rnacentral:rRNA from 1 species
UACGUAGGGGACGAGCGUUGUCCGGAAUUACUGGGCGUAAAGGGCGCGCAGGCGGUAUAUCAAGUCAGCUGUCAAAGACUGGGGCUCAACCCUGGUAUGCGGUUGAAACUGAUAUGCUGGAGUGCUGUAGAGGCAAGUGGAAUUCCCAGUGUAGCGGUGAAAUGCGUAGAUAUUGGGAAGAACACCGGUGGCGAAGGCGACUUGCUGGGCAGCAACUGACGCUGAGGCGCGAAAGCGUGGGGAGCGAACAGGAUUA